rnacentral:rRNA from 1 species
GUGGGGAAUAUUGGACAAUGGGGGGAACCCUGAUCCAGCCAUGCCGCGUGUGUGAAGAAGGCCUUUUGGUUGUAAAGCACUUUAAGCGAGGAGGAGGCUACCGAGAUUAAUACUCUUGGAUAGUGGACGUUACUCGCAGAAUAAGCACCGGCUAACUCUGUGCCAGCAGCCGCGGUAAUACAGAGGGUGCAAGCGUUAAUCGGAUUUACUGGGCGUAAAGCGCGCGUAGGUGGCGAAUUAAGUCAAAUGUGAAAUCCCCGAGCUUAACUUGGGAAUUGCAUUCGAUACUGGUUGGCUAGAGUAUGGGAGAGGAUGGUAGAAUUCCAGGUGUAGCGGUGAAAUGCGUAGAGAUCUGGAGGAAUACCGAUGGCGAAGGCAGCCAUCUGGCCUAAUACUGACACUGAGGUGCGAAAGCAUGGGGAGCAAACAGGAUUAGAAACCCCAGUAGUCC